rnacentral:rRNA from 1 species
UACGGGGGGGGCAAGCGUUGUUCGGAAUUACUGGGCGUAAAGGGCUCGUAGGUGGCCAACUAAGUCGGACGUGAAAUCCCUCGGCUUAACCGGGGAACUGCGUCCGAUACUGGUUGGCUUGAGUUUGGGAGAGGGAUGCGGAAUUCCAGGUGUAGCGGUGAAAUGCGUAGAUAUCUGGAGGAACACCGGUGGCGAAGGCGGCAUCCUGGACCAACACUGACGCUGAGGAGCGAAAGCGUGGGGAGCAAACAGG